rnacentral:rRNA from 1 species
CAGUCGCCACGGUAAUACGGAGGGUGCAAGCGUUAAUCGGAAUUACUGGGCGUAAAGCGCACGCAGGCGGUCUGUCAAGUCAGAUGUGAAAUCCCCGGGCUUAACCUGGGAACUGCAUUUGAAACUGGCAGGCUAGAGUCUUGUAGAGGGGGGUAGAAUUCCAGGUGUAGCGGUGAAAUGCGUAGAGAUCUGGAGGAAUACCGGUGGCGAAGGCGGCCCCCUGGACAAAGACUGACGCUCAGGUGCGAAAGCGUGGGGAGCAAACAGGAUUAGAUACCCGUGUAGUCCCUGUCUCUUAUAU